GAGUUUGAUCCUGGCUCAGGUACGAACGCCUGCGGCGUGCUUAACACAUGCAAGUCGAAGGGGAAAGGUCUCUUCGGAGGUACUCGAGUGGCGAACGGGUGAGUAACACGUGGGCAAUCUGCCCUGCACUUCGGGAUAAGCCUGGGAAACUGGGUCUAAUACCGGAUAGGACCUCUUGGCGCAUGCCUUGUGGUGGAAAGCUUUUGCGGUGUGGGAUGGGCCCGCGGCCUAUCAGCUUGUUGGUGGGGUGAUGGCCUACCAAGGCGACGACGGGUAGCCGGCCUGAGAGGGUGUCCGGCCACACUGGGACUGAGAUACGGCCCAGACUCCUACGGGAGGCAGCAGUGGGGAAUAUUGCACAAUGGGCGCAAGCCUGAUGCAGCGACGCCGCGUGGGGGAUGACGGCCUUCGGGUUGUAAACCUCUUUCAGCAGGGACGAAGCGCAAGUGACGGUACCUGCAGAAGAAGCACCGGCCAACUACGUGCCAGCAGCCGCGGUAAUAC
rnacentral:rRNA from 1 species